rnacentral:lncRNA from 1 species
UUUGCGUUCAGAGAAAUAGCUAUGUGCUUCCAAAGAAUCUGGAACUUGCACCUAAAGAGAUGAUCAUUUCCUUCUAUAUACAACAGAAAUGACGCAUAUGACCAGGUUUGCUACGCCUAAACACAAUACAGACAACAUGCUUCCAUAGACAUAUAUUUUUGCUUCUAGAUCAUUAUGCUAGUAUCUUCAUAUAUCAGAGACUUGUUUUCGUACAAACAUGAAUUUGUUUCCAUCAAAAAGGGAAAACAUGAAUAAACUAUAUGAGAUAUGUUUCUACAGUAAUUAAAUAGAGCAUUUGCCUCCAUGGUGAUCAUGAAGCACUUCACCAUCUACGGGCAGUGGCACAAUCUGUAAUGAGCCAAAGACAUUGUCUGGAUCAUUGCCUUGUGGAAAGACACUGCAUCUUACUGCCUUCUUAUUUGCUUCCUGCAAUGAAAGAUAUAGCCAUGUGAGAGAUUCAACAAAUUUCGAUGAACAAAUUGAAUAGCAAUGGAGAAGAACUCUAUAAUGCUUAAAAUAAUGAGAAGGUCCCAAUGGAAAAAAAAAGGAAUAAUGCAAACUAUGCUUCAGCCCUACAUUCAUGAUGAAUUAAAAUUCCAAACUGGUGCAUCAAUCCGGACUUGCAUGUGCAUCACACUUCUCACCUACCUGCCACAUGUAAUGCUGAGAGAGACAAAACAUCGCCUGGUAAUUCACCGUUCUGCAUGGCCUGAAAGCAUAUCCCAGUUGGCCUCGUUUCCAAACAGAGAAGACGCUCAGGCUGGUGGAUCAGACCGAAACUAGAGGUGGAGUAACGCAUGAUCAUGAAAAAGUUAAGCACGGUGAUGAGGGAGGUUACGAGCUCGAUGGUGAGCAGUUGUGGGUCAAUACCGAGGUGGCCGCCGGACGAGAUGGCAACGACGAGGUGGAACGUAGACCGCGGAUGGACGGGACAGAAACUCGUGCUGGGGAGAGAGGGACGAUGAGGGGCAUGGUGAUCUCAGCGGUGUGCACAAGAUGGGCAGGAGAGUUGGGGUGAGUUAUUUCGCGAUAUUAAUGCAGGGAGAAAUUAUGGGGCAUGGGCUAGAAAAUCGGGUGGUUAAUAUCUUUGAGUGCAUCUGUCAGCCGUGAGAUCGAAAUAUAAAUCAACCGUGUCCGAUGGGUCUGACGAAUGCUUUCCAUCAGCUGUCUGUAGAGAAGCGUUUUCCAUUGACAAAUGCAUGUAUCAGAAAGCAAGCCGGCAUCAAUAAGAACAAGCAACAUGCCGAAACACAAGACUCGAUAUGAUGGCAUCAGUUGUUCUACGAUCCCACCAUGCUGGGAAAGCGAACAAACGAUUAAUGAUGAUGGCAAGAACCACACGCGGCGGCGGUGGAGCGGUUACAUACAAAUUCAUGCAGUGGCGGCGACGAGGGGAUUGAGAGUGUUUAACGGCAUGAUGGUGCCUGGUGUCGGGGACGUGAGGAUAGCCCGUGGGCCUGUGAUGAAACGGGCACAAAGAAUUUUUGGGCUCGCAUACAGUCCAUCUAAUACUUAAGCUGUGAUGCCGAGUCCAAUCCUAGUUUCCUUAGCUUUCAUGAGCCUAGACGAGCCAAGUCAUGAGUCUGCUCGGCUAGGCUUGUUUCCACCCAUAGCAACUACAUUUAGCCGGACAGCCCGUGUUGUUCUGUCAUUUUUCACAAGGACUGCUGGUGAGCGUAGCUACAUUUUUUCCAAUGCCUCCUACUCCAAGUGCCACUCACCUCACGUGAUUAAUAAUUAACAUAUCUUGGAUCGAUAUGCCAUAGGAGAAGAACAAAAGAGGAUCUAGAUCAUACCGUGGUGGCUAGGAUACCGUGGUGGCUAAUGAGUCUGCUCGGCUAGGCUUGUUGUGCAUGCAUUGCAAGAGGUGUUAUAUCUUGGAGAAUAUAGAGAGAGAGUUUUGGGCUUGUAAUGGGCAUGUGCAGACUAGCUAAAUAAAAUGUAGCGUGCAGGUAUACAAGCUUGAAUGCCCUGGUUUGUACAACUCUCAACCACCAGCAGUCAAUGAUACAAUUGGUUUCUUUAAGAGAGCACUCGUAUGCCCUCACACUAGUGCAGAAUGGACUAUUAAGCCAUGCAUAUCGCAUACCCUAGCGUGGGACAUCACAUUCGUUACAACACGUGAUUUAUAAAAGGUAGCCGUGUGCAAUACGGACUACACAAUUUGCUCGU